rnacentral:rRNA from 1 species
UUGCAUGGGGGCACCCUGACCGCAACGCCGCGUGAAUGAAGAAGGCCUUAGGGUUGUAAAGUUCUUUUGUCAGGGAAGAAAAGCUUGUGGGUAAUAUCCAUAGGUGAUGACGGUACCUGAAGAAUAAGCACCGGCUAACUACGUGCCAGCAGCCGCGGUAAUACGUAGGGUGCGAGCGUUAAUCGGAAUUACUGGGCGUAAAGGGUGCGCAGGCGGAUAUUUAAGUUAGAUGUGAAAUACCCGAGCUUAACUUGGGGAGGUCAUUUAAUACUGGAUAUCUAGAGUUUGUCAGAGGGGGGUAGAAUUCCACGUGUAGCAGUGAAAUGCGUAGAGAUGUGGAGGAAUACCGAUGGCGAAGGCAGCCCCCUGGGAUAACACUGACGCUCAUGCACGAAA